GGCCGUUCCCUCCCUUUCAUAGCUCCGGGCAGAAGGAUGGAUGUGGAACGCGGGCUUUCGUCCCUCUCCCUCACGGCGUGCCCUGCCCCGCGGAAUAUUUUCCUGUUUGCGGGCAGCGUCACUGGUUGGAAAUGCCUGUGGAUGAGGCUGGGCAAGCUCCCAUCGUGGACACACUUCAGAGUUCUGUCUCAAGUGGUUAUUGCAAAUGCUUUUCUGUUAACGACUACGAAAGAUGCUGUACCUGUCUGAAAGGAUAUCUUGGAAUGCAAAAUCAUGUUGCUGUGCAAAGUCAGCCUCUGUUGCCUACAAAAUAAGUCCGUUCCUUCCUGUUUGGUCAAAUCCCAAAUUGUUUUUGUCCACUUGCUUCCUAUGUAUGAAGGGAGCUUUGCACCGGAUGAGUACAAAACAUCACCUGCUUGCUGGCCACUCAUCAUGCAGUGGUGAAGGCAUGUGGGCGUGUGGAGGCUGCCAAAGACUGUGGCCCAGAGCGUGGAUCCUCCUCUGCAACUCUGUCAUCUGCUAACAUCUAGCAACAAGGAGUGUGGCUGAGGCCGAACUGCUCAAAUUCAGUCUGAAUGUAUUGUAGAACAUGGCCAGGUGUUGGGAGGAAACAGCCACAGCUGGAUAUUUCAGCCUCUAUGUGAAAGCAAGCAUUUGUCAUGUCAGGCAACUUAGCAAUUGGUAUUUUGGUUAGGAAAACAGAUGUUUUCCAGAUGAUGGAGAGUUAGUGAUCACUGUGGUGAUAGCUGGCUUUCUCUCUGCAUUUCUGUUGAAUGGUCAAAGCUUUUCUUUCAAAUGCCACCUUAGCUACCAUCUCCCAUGACUUUGGCAGUCCACUAUUGCAAUCAUUAUCUACCUCAAGCUAAAUGCUACCUCAAACUGCAUCCCUCAAGCUAAAUGUUCGAGGGUCUGCCAAGAGGUCUUGCAAACCAUGGAGAUUCCCAGCAAUAAUUACAGUGAGGUUGACCAUGUGCCCAUCAGUACUGGAAAGUAGAUUGAACUUAAAAGUGCACCUUAGGGACUGCUCAAGUUGAAAACUGCUUGUAUUGAUGGGGUACAGGGAAAAACUUGAGAAGUAGAAGUGAUUUCAACAUCAACUGGAGACUACAAGAUGAAGUGCAAGCACAGGCUGAAUAAAUACUAAACCUCUAAACCUGGCUUCUCUUGAACUGUCCUUAUAGAAUCAUUCAGGAAUACAGCACGUUUAAUAAUCACAUCAUUGUAGGGGUUGGAAGGAACCUUGGGAGAUCAUCUAGUCCAGCCUCUCUGCUAACAUAGGUUCCCUACAGCAGGUUGCACAGGAAAGCAUCUAGGUGGAUUUUGACUAUCUCCAGAGAAGAAGGCUCCACAUCCUCUCUUGGCAGCGUAUUCCAGUGCUCUGUAACCCUUACAGUAAAGAAGUUUAUUCUCAUGUUCAGAUGGAACAGACUCCUAUGAACAUACUUUCCUCAGGCUGUGGUUGAGGAAGCCCAUGGUCGCAUACUGAAGUGCUUCACCAUCAAAGUUUUUCCUCAGAUCAAGUGAUGCACGAUGGCUUGGAAGCGACCUCAUUCUACUUAACUCCAAAGCCUUCAUAACCUGCCAACUAUCCUACCAUGAGAGUGUCUACAAUACCGAUAAGCUUGAUCUGUGCAAUGAAAACCUGAAGGUUGUCUUGAAGGCCUUGGAUUCAGAAAACACUGAAGUAAAUGUCAUCACAACCUGACCAUAAUAUACUGAGUAGUUAAAUUAAAAUCCAUGCUGUCUCUCUUCUUCCUUUUUGAAGACCUCAGAAUAAGGCAAGGAUUCAGCUGAAGGAGCUGUUGUGAUAUGAGACUGCAAGAAUAUUCCUGAGCAUGAGUUUAUGGGAUCCCGUUAAGAUAUUUUAUAUUCUUGGGGCUACACCCUGUAACCAGCUACAGGGUUUUUUUAUGAGAAUACCCAUUCCCCGAUUCCUCACUUCUAUACGUCCAUCUACUAAAAAUUACUUUGGUGCCCAUCACCAGCACAGCCUUGCAACUGAAGUUGAGAGGAGGAGAAAAGUGAGAAGAAAUAACAUCAGAACUGUACGUUUCCUAAACUGUCUUGAAAAUGCAGGGCAGCUUCUGCUAAACCUUUCAUAGCGGUACAAAAUAGGCUGAGAUGGGAUCUGAAUAUCUGAAUUUUAGUGAGGCACAUUAAAAACACAGUAUAGCAUCUCCCAGAGGAUUUUUAAAAAGAAUGUAGACUUUGCCUCCGGACAUGCAAACGUAAAACCUUCCAUUAACCUCAGUGCACAGAUGAAGAUAAAUUAUAUACUGAAGUAGUUCACUUCCUCAGGAGCACAGAGUUCAGCGCCUUGAAAAAAUAAGCCCUUUAGUCAGUGAUGACUGAACCAACUCUUUGGUACCUAAUAGGAUUGGAGAUGUAGAGGAAAGUGUUUUUUUGUUUGCUUGUUUGUUUUUGUUUCUUUAUUUUAAAGUAAUAUUGCUCAUUAUGGUUGUUGCCUGUUUGUGCCACCAGGGCAAGUGAUUCACCUCUGCUGCUAUGAGAAAACAUUAGUGUUUUGAAAUAACUUCAUUUGAUUUAGGAACAUACCACACUGUAGCCUGAAAUUUUAAGUAAAUGAAAUCUUAAUCAUGGGUUUCAUUAAGCCAACAUAUCAUCCACAAGGUAAACAAGCUCCACUUUCUGAUUUUGAUCCUUGAAGUCCACUGCCUACAUCUUUGGACCUUCAGUGGCUCCCUGACUCAUCCUCCCCUCCAUGAGAGUAUUAUCUAGAUUAUCUCCAAAGAACCUCUGUCUGUCAGCUCAGAGUAGGUACAGUACUACAAAGAACAAGAGCUUCUGGGACGCUGUCAUGUCACAUUGCAUUGCUGCAUUUUAGGUCAGUUUGUCUCUCUUGUAAAAUAAAAUCAAUAUUGACUUUAUACAGCAUUAUUGUUCUUGAUAAACACAAUUCUGCCUCAGUCUGGUUAGUUAAGGCUCCUCACAUCUUGCAAAGUCAUGUGGGAGCUGAGAUAACUUCAUAUUUGUGGAGCUGAUAGUUCCACUGCUCAGGUAAAGGUGGUUUGCUUCUGUGUAUUUCCUUGCAGUGCUGUGUCUCCCAGAGCAGCAGUUCUUCCCAGUUCCAUUCCUACAAGACUUCCCAAAAUAAAUACAUACUUUCAUUAAAUGUCAGCCCAAACCUGUCUGAACAGGGGAUUUUGUGGUGUGCCAAAACAGCAAAUGGCCGCAGUGCAUUACUUACUCCAUUAAGUGCUAUCAUGUGGAGCUGCACUGACUGCUUACCAUUUUAUAACACUGUCUGUAAGACAGGCUAAAAAUCCAGUCCCUCACUAGCCUUAUCAAGAGAAGUACUCAUUC
rnacentral:lncRNA from 7 species